GACAGAGGAUGCAAGCGUUAUCCGGAAUGAUUGGGCGUAAAGCGUCUGUAGGUGGCUUUUUAAGUCUGCCGUCAAAUCCCAGGGCUUAACCCUGGACAGGCGGUGGAAACUACCAAGCUGGAGUACGGUAGGGGCAGAGGGAAUUUCCGGUGGAGCGGUGAAAUGCGUAGAGAUCGGAAAGAACACCCGUGGCGAAAGCGGCUCUCUGGGACGGUACUGACGCUGAGACGCGAAAGCGUGGGGAGCAAACAGG
rnacentral:rRNA from 1 species